rnacentral:rRNA from 1 species
GACGAACGCUGGCGGCGUGCCUAAUACAUGCAAGUCGAACGCUUCUUUCCUCCCGAGUGCUUGCACUCAAUUGGAAAGAGGAGUGGCGGACGGGUGAGUAACACGUGGGUAACCUACCCAUCAGAGGGGGAUAACACUUGGAAACAGGUGCUAAUACCGCAUAACAGUUUAUGCCGCAUGGCAUAAGAGUGAAAGGCGCUUUCGGGUGUCGCUGAUGGAUGGACCUGCGGUGCAUUAGCUAGUUGGUGAGGUAACGGCUCACCAAGGCCACGAUGCAUAGCCGACCUGAGAGGGUGAUCGGCCACACUGGGACUGAGACACGGCCCAGACUCCUACGGGAGGCAGCAGUAGGGAAUCUUCGGCAAUGGACGAAAGUCUGACCGAGCAACGCCGCGUGAGUGAAGAAGGUUUUCGGAUCGUAAAACUCUGUUGUUAGAGAAGAACAAGGACGUUAGUAACUGAACGUCCCCUGACGGUAUCUAACCAGAAAGCCACGGCUAACUACGUG